AUUGAACGCUGGCGGCAGGCUUAACACAUGCAAGUCGAACGAGUGGCGGACGGGUGAGUAAUGCUUGGGAAUCUAGCUUAUGGAGGGGAAUAACUACGGGAAACUGUAGCUAAUAACGCGUACCAUAGGAUGAGCCCAAGUGGGAUUAGGUAGUUGGUGAGGUAAAGGCUCACAAAGCCGAGGAUCUCUAGCUGGUCUGAGAGGAUGACCAGCCACCCUGGGAAUGGGACACGGCCCAGACUCCUACGGGAGGAAGCAGUGGGGAAUAUUGCGCAAUGGGGGCAACCUGACGCAGCCAUGCCGCGUGAAUGAAGAAGGCCUUCGGGUUGUAAAGUUCUUUCGGUAGCGAGGCGUUAACUACAGAAGAAGCACCGGCUAACUCCGUGCCAGCAGCCGCGGUAAUAC
rnacentral:rRNA from 1 species